CAUGUUAUCAUUUGCAUUAAAGAAUAGAAAAAUUCUAAUAGCUUCUAGUCAAGUUACAGGAGCAAAUGUUUCAGUAUAACCAAUACAUUCAUAAUGGCUAUGUCAUUGUGCCACAAGUUUGGAUUUAUUUCUUACCACUUUUGCAUCUUCAUCUACAUUGUUUCGGAAAACACAUUAGCUUCUAAGCAGAAGUUGUCCUUCUGGUUUUGGUACCAAAUUCAUACGUCAUUUCUUUAUAAUGAAUGAGUUCUUCUUUCAUUGCAAUGUUCCAUCCUUUAUUUGACAAUGCUUAGUCAACACAGGUUGGUUCAAUCUCAAAAAAAAAAAAAGUAAGAAAAUACUGAUUUGGGAAUAAUGAUCUCGUUUUGAUUCUAUUUCCAACAUCACAAAUGAUUAAAUUGAUUAAGUGUGAUGAUUUGUAUUUCUGUCCUUCCUUUGGUAUGAGAUGACUUAUACUACUAGAGGCAUUAUCACAAAUUCUAUCAUCUA
rnacentral:lncRNA from 1 species